AAUAUUAAGGAGUUGCAAUAUUAGUGGACCACUACCUGAAUAUCUCGGUUUAAUGACAAAUCUAAAAACCUUAGACCUCAGCUAUAAUAAGCUGGCUGGAGAAAUUCCAAGAACUUUUGAAAGAUUGUCGGAAUUAGAUUUUAUGUAUCUAACUGGAAAUUUGCUAACUGGUCUUGUUCCUGAUUG